rnacentral:lncRNA from 1 species
CAGAUUUAUUUCUUCUUGCCUAGAGACCAUUAUGAUAAUGCAGCAGGGCCACCAGUCAGUUUCAGAUAAUGAUGUCAACCCCGGCCACCAAGAAGUAACCUUGUCUCCACUAGACAGAGCAGGUUGCAGGAAUUUAGCCAAUUCAGAGGUCUUGUUCUCCAUAAUUUGGAAUUUUCCUUCGGAUUUGAUCAAGUUGGAUAGAGUUGGUCAAACCCAAUGGGAAAAAGAUGAAAACAACAAGAAACAGAAACAAACAGCAACAACAACAACAACAAAAACAAUGCAUUUAAUUAAAUGAAGAUGAGCUCAUGCUGGAGUAGGGUGGACUCUGAACCCAGUGGGACAAGCGUCCUUAUUAAGAAGAGGGAAAUCUGGACACACACAGAGCAGAGACCGCCGUGUGAAGAUGGAGGCAGAGAUCGGAGAGAUGCUGCCACACGCCACAAAUGCCUGGGGCUCCCAGAAACUACACGGAGCCUCCCCCAGCGGCUUCAGCAGGAGCAUGGCUCGGCCAACACUUUGAUCUUGGUCUUCCAGCCUCCAGAACGGUGAGUCGUUUUCCUAAAAUUCCCUUUUCCACUGGUGUGUGGUGCAAGAUGAGGCACAUUUUCCAUGGAUGGUGAACAGAGGGAGGAGCCUUUUGAUCACAACCAGGUCACCCCACUUCUAAGCCACUGUGCCUCCAGCCCCACAAGACUAAGGAGAGAGAGCGCAGCGUGGUGGAGAGUGAGCUGUGCUGGGACCAUUGUUUCCGUAACCUCGUUUUCUGUGUCCAGCUGACACACCUUCAAAGUGGCAUCAGGUCCUAAACUGUAGCUUGCAAUGUGCCUGUUUCCAGAAACCAAGGUGAAAGUGCUUUUAGACAGUGUUCCCAUGCAAGAGUCCCUUCCCAGCUUUUUUCUGGAAAUGCAUGUUUCUCUGAACUCUGAGUCCCAAGAAAAAUCACUUGAGACACCAAGAAAAUGGGGGAAGUGCUAAAAUUGUGUGGGAAUUCAAGCUUAACAAUAAACAUCAAGACAUUUUUGAUAAAAAUGAAUCCACUGACAUCGGGGAGGAGCAAGAGAACAGCACGCUGACACUGGGUCAGAGGCUAAGACCGACAUUUCUGGGAACCACUCCCGGA